rnacentral:rRNA from 1 species
GAUGAACGCUGGCGGCGUGCCUAAUACAUGCAAGUCGAACGCACAGCGAAAGGUGCUUGCACCUUUCAAGUGAGUGGCGAACGGGUGAGUAACACGUGGAUAACCUACCUCAAGGUUGGGGAUAACAUUUGGAAACAGAUGCUAAUACCGAAUAAAACUUCGUAUCGCAUGAUACAAGGUUAAAAGGCGCUACGGCGUCACCUAGAGAUGGAUCCGCGGUGCAUUAGUUAGUUGUGGGUAAAGGCUACAAGACAAUGAUGCAUAGCCGAGUUGAGAGACUGAUCGGCC